AUGACCGGUUCAUUUGCUAUUUCUUUGCUGUGUGGGCGUGUCAUUUCCUGUAACGUUUCAGCAAACCCUGACCCAAUCAGCCCCUGUGUCUCAGAGCGUCCACAAUUCCACAGCAAGGACUGCAGGAGGGCAUUAUCAGGAGAGAUGAGCUCCAGCCUGCUUUUAUUCUUUAUAUACCACUGGCUGCCAAGCCCCAGUCAGGGGAUCGGAGUCUCUCAGACCCCCCAGGUCCUCUUGCAGGGAGCAGGAGGUUCUGCAGGGAUGUUCUGUGAGCACGAUGGUGGUGUUGGCUACAAUCAAAUGUACUGGUACCGUCAGCUGAGAGGACAAGGGAUUCAGUUACUAGCAUUCUCUGUGUUUGGCAGUGACCCACAAUUUGAAAAGGACUUCAGUGAAGAGAGAUAUGAAGUGAACAGAUCUUCAGUAAACAAGGGCUCUUUAAAGAUUAAGAAACUGGAGCCGGGUGACAGUGCCCUGUACUUCUGCUCAGCGAGCAAACACAGUGAUGCAAUCCCACUGCAGCACCUGGCAAAAAGCGCUCUGCCUUCUCUUCUACCAGCUCUAGUACUGUAG